UAUAGUUUAGACAUAAAAGCACCCCAAAACAAAGUAGCCAAACAACAAGAAAGCAAAAACAAGGAGCACUAAGUAACUACAAAGUUGGAUUUAUGUAACAACUUCAUAAUUAACGAGGAAGGUCGAGACCAUGAUGAAUAAGUGAAAUAUUAGGUGAUCUUCCAUGCCGAGCCACCAAGCCAUCCACAAUGGCGUUCCAUUCUCUAGGGAUAAGAUUAUGUUGUUGGUAGAUAGGGAAGUACAUAGUAGAUGUAGAAUUGCUAGGAUUCAGUCUAGAGAAAGUAGAGUGGAUAUGGAGGCAAGUUUUAAUAUUAUGGGCAAGUCUCUUUAUGACUUUAGAGACAAUGACAUGAUCGUUAUCAGAGAAAUUCUGAGUAACCAAGGAUCAUGUUUAGUUUAAGAGCAUAAUUACACAUGGUAGAAAAAUUCUGAGUGGCUAGCAAGAAGAGAUAAGGGUCUAAGAGUCUCCUUGUCUGACCCCUCUAUUGGCUCUAAUAAUCUUUGAAGAUUGACCAUUGAUUAUGAAAGAAAAGCUAGUCAAAUUUAGACAAGCCUUGAUCCAAUUGAUCCAAACCGUAGGAAAGCCCAUUUUUGCACAGGUGGCAAGAAUAACAUUCCAAUUGAGAGUGUCAUAAUCUUUCUCGAUAUCUACCUUCAAAAUCAUCCUAAGGGCAGUGCUAGUUUCUUCUUCUAAAGAGUUGAACCAUUUCUUUCACCACAAUAAUGAUAUCAAUUGAGUGACAACCAGCUAAAAACCCAUGCUGCUUGUUAUUGAUAAGAUUAGGUAAAACCAACUGUAAUAUAUUAGUGAGAAUUUUAUUAAUGAGCUUUUAACAAAUGUUGCAAAUAUAAAUAAGCCUAUAGUUAGUGACUUUGCAAGGAUGAUUAGAUUUAGGGAUAAGAACCCCAAAAGUGUGACUCUAAGGUUUAGGCAUGGAAGCAGUCAUUAAAAAAUAGCUAAUAGUGUCAAACAAACUAGUAGCAAUGCCUCCCAAAAGAAGCGAUAAAACUCUGUGUUGAAGCCAUCCAGGCCAAGGCUCUUGCCUGUGGUAAGUGUCAUAAGGGUUUUCAAGAUUUCAACUUUAGUGACUCGUCUAGUUAGAAGCUCAUUGCCCCUGAUGGAAAUGGUAUUGAGAUUAGAGGGUAGAGCAUUCAGAAUUUCAGAGAAAGGGGUUUGCUGACUGCCAUUCCACAAAUCAUUGUAAAAAUUUAUAAAAGACUUUUCAAUACCAUCUCUAUUGUGGAAAGUAUUGCCACUGAAGUUUGAACACUCAUAUGAUAAAAACUUGAAUCAACAGCCCUAUCCUGAAUUCACAUGAGCUGUGUUCUCUGGGCUCAUUUAGGAGAAUUUUGCCUGGGAAGAGCAUUGAGUUUGUUGUGCAGGAUCUGGGAGCUACCAACCUUUGGGUAUUCUGCGCUAGAAUUAAAUUUGGCUCUUAGUUUCCAUGAUUUCUUCAUCUAAAGAAUUAAGUUUGCUAGAUCUCCAUGUAAUCGACCCAUUUCUACAACAGGAUAGAAUGUGAGAGAAAGUAUGUAUAGCAGAGGCUUUAGUAAGUAAAUUGAGGAAAUCCCUAAUCAUUUUGUGACAAUCAAAUAUUCUAACUAGUAAUCAUCAAAUUUAAAAAUUCUAUUCAAAUAAUGAUUGAGAGUACGGGCUAUCAUCAAAAAAGGAGCAUGAUCAGAGGCAAUUAUGGCAAAUUUCCUAACUUUAUAACAAGAAAAUAUAGUAAUCCAGCUAACAUUAGUAAGAAAUCUAUCAUGUUUGGCCCAAUUAUUACUGUUGAGUUGUUGAGUUGGUAGCUGCGAGAAAAGGAUACUUUCAAUUCUUAUUUUACUGAAGCAAGAAAAAUACACUUCUCUUGUAGGCACAUUGCACCCCACAAGAGAAUAGAUUUACAUCAAGAACAUAUAUAAAUAAAGAAUCAAAGAUAUCACAAUAAUGAGAAAAAGCUUUUAGCUUUAAAAAAAGAAGUUUUCAUAUUACCAAAGAAAUCGAUAGCAAGCAUAGAUAAUUCCCAGGUAAAAGCAAUUCUAUUAGAAAUUAAUAUCCACCCAUGCAUGAAUAGAAGAGACUUUUAAGAUGGCAAAAGUGUUUUUUUAUAAUAUAUAAUUUUGAUAUUGUGAUAGCUAAAGGAACUAACAAUUGCCUCGUACAUUUUCUUACCAAAGGACUCAAUAGAGGCCAACCUUAUUAAUGAAUUCUCUAAUGUGAUAGAUAUUAUGAUAGCUUGUUUUGAUAAGUGGGUUGAGAUCCGUAACUCUCAUAUAAACAUUCUAGACAAUAAGGAAAAGGCAAUGGAGAAAUUAAACUCCAUCGAGAAAAAAAGAAUUGAAAGGAUCCACCAAAGGUGAAAAAAAAAGAAGAAAGAAUUCAAAGAAGAAAACUCUUCCUUGAGACCUCAAACAAACAACAAGAUAAGCAAAAUUGAAAGGGAUCAAAAUUCCCAAAGAAAAAAGAACUAAAGUUAUGUGGAAGAGAAAGCAAUCAAAGCAUUGUAAGAUUUCCAUUCAAUAUUAGAAGGAUAACAUUGCUAUGGAAAAGAAUCAUUGCUUAAAUCCAAGUUUUAAUCUAUCUCCUGACCAUCGGGUGCAUACCCAAUUCCAAUGGAGAGCAAGGUAAAAUGUGUUAUAGAUAUGGCCGCAUCAGUUCCAUAUAUGUUAGCGCAGAGAAUAAAGUUGUCCUUGCUUUGAAAAAUUAUUCAAUUUUCUAUUGAAGCAAAUUUUAUAAAGUUUGGUUUAUUCUCAUCUUUCACAAUGAUUGUUGGAGUUGUCAUUUAUGAGAGAGAACAACGGAACAGAGAGAUUUCACCUUAUUCACAUUGGAUGCUUUGGGAAAACUGUAGAUUAUUAUGGCAUGAGGUCUACACAUUAUUACUUCGUAGCUCAUCAACACCAUUAAACCCCAGCCAAGUGGCAGAGAGCAUAAAAAGAGGUUACUGUUUGAGCCGUUAACUAUCAAAUCAUUGUCAAUUAGUAAAGCAUGAGGUCCCACAUUUUAUAAUUUUGUAAUGCUUAGGGUACGGUGUGCUCUGGAGAUGCCUUAAGCAUUAAGAAACCUCCCUUUAUAAAAUGGAAGAGAAACCUUUCUCCAGAGCAGAAGAAGAAAAAAACACUCCACUGGACCUCCUACCAGUCUCAGAGCAAUCUUUGUAAGUGUGUUUAUUUAGAAGUCUUAAUAGCUUCAGAGAAUCUCUCUCUGAAGACGCUAAGGUAUAUGCUGCUUCAUUAUGAAUGAAUAUAGCUUGAUUUCUAUCUCAUCCUUGCCCUAGAAUACUUUGAUUCUAUUCUUAGUAGAACUUUUUAAAUUAGAAGUUAGUUAAUUGGUAGAGAUAGUAAAUCUAUUAGAAGAAAGCAAUAAUAUAUCAAAAUAUUAGGCGAUAGAAAUCUUUGUUAGUGUGUUUAUUUAGAAAUUUUAAUGGCUUCAGAGAAUCUCUCUCUGAGGACGCUAAGGUAUGUGCUACGAAUAUAGCUUGAUUUUUAUUUAAUGUACGAGGCAAUUGUUAGUUCCUUUAGAAGAUGAAUAGACUUCCUGAAAAUACAGUAAUCGUAGGAAAAGGAAUUGAGUUAGAAUUAGAUGAAGUAUCAAGACUAGAAAUAGAAAUGAUAGAAAAAGGUCAUUUAUUAGAAAAUGAUAGGUUAAUGCAUGAUGAAACAGGAGGACUAGUUGUAAAAUAUGAAAAUAGUAAUAAUGAAACAGGAGAACUAGGGGUAAGAUAUGAAAAUAAUAAUUUAGAAUUAAUGAAAUCUGGCAGUAGUAGUAAUGCCUCGCAAGUAGAUGCAAUUAGGAAACUAGAACAAUUACAAAUUAAAACAUGGAGUGAGAUAAAGCCUUUUUAUCAAGAUUUCAUGUAUUAUAGUACCAAAGCAGGAUGUUUUUAUGAUAAAGCAAUAGGAGAAAAAUUAUUUUUAAAAUUACCCGAACCAUUAGGUAGUAUAAUUCAUAAAAAAUAUAAUGAACAAGUAUUACCUAAGACACCGCCUCAAUUUGUUAACAUAGCAACAAAAAUCAAAUUUAUAGAUGAUCAAUUUGAAGAAAAACGUACAGAGUUACAAAUUAUUAGAGAAUUAAAUGAAAUGCUAAUAGAAUUAGGAUGAAUAGUGAAUGUGAGCACAAGUGGAAAAAUAAUAGUGGUAGUAAUGACAAACCCUCUAUACACUGUAAUAGAUAUCCAGUACUAAAGCUAAGAUACCAAUGCAAAAACUGUUUAGUAGAAUGUUGUAAAUUCUGUCUAGAAAAAUCAGUUACCUUACCAUUACCUGAACCAGUAGUCAAUACAAAUAUUAGAGCGCAAACCUUAGAAUUAAGGAUAAUUAGUUUAGAAAAUAGGCUUGAACAAUUAAGAGUAGAAUUUGAUAAAUUAAUCCAUCAACUUAAAAUCAGAAAUUUAAUAGAUAAUGAACAAUAUGCAAAGCUAGGUAGCACAGGACAGAAACAAUUUAAUAUCGAAGAUGCUAGGCAAAUAGAAAAAAUUAAGUUAGUAAAGGAAAUACCUGAUCUUAAACUCCCUUUAGAAAACGAUUAUUUAAUAAUAGAAACCAAUGGAUGUGAACUAGGAUGGGGAGCCGUAUUAAAAAGGAAACCCAAUAAAUACUCAUCUAGAGUAGAAGAGGAGAUAUGUAGAUAUAGUAGUGGACAGUUUAAUGAAAUAGGAUUAACUUCUAGCAUAGAUCAAGAAUUUCUAGCAGCUAGCUAUGGUUUAGAUAGUUUUAGGUUUUUUUUACUAAAUAAAAAAGAAAUAUUAGUUAGAAUUGAUUGUGAAGCUAUAAUUAAAUUCUUUGAAAAAAGUAAUAGCAAAAGAAUUAGCCAGCGUAGAUGGUUAGCGCUCAAGGAUAGAAUAGUUAAUUCAGCAUGUAUUGUGGGAUUUGAGCAUAUUAAAGGUAGUGCUAACAGUUUAGCAGAUAAACUGUCUAGAUGCUUAUUUGAACAUCAAGUAGUAGAAGCCCCACCUUGAGGUGGAGGUAGAAGGUAAUGUAGAUUUAAACUCCUAUAUUAGUAAUGCAGAUUUACAUUCUUGCAGUAGUCAUUAGAUAGUGGUCAUUUGAUAAUUAUGUUAAUUAAUAAAAUAGCUCAAACCCAGAGUUUGUCCAUCUGAAUAAUAGUAAAGACUGUGGCUGUAAAACCAACAGGUCCAUUCGCGUUCUUUACUAUGGUGAGAACUCGGUGCACUGACCUUUAGACUUUAGAUAUAAUUCUUGUAAAAUUUCUUGUAAAACCAGCAGGUUUGCCAAUAAUUCCCCACAGCACAAAUUUGUCCUUCCGAGCUCCACUUAAAUUACAUUUCGAUCUUAAAGACCAUGUCCUGAUAGACAACUUACAGAUAUCCCCUACCACUCCAAGUUUUGCAAGUAUACUCACUAAAUUAACCAUCCACCUCCACCUUAAAAACUCUCUAUGCCCAACUUGUGACCGAAGAACAAAUCCCCCUGAGACCAUGCUCUCUGGAAGCCUACAUCAACAUGGAAAAUCAGGUAGAACUUCUAAACUCCCAACUAGCAGAGGAAAAAGAAAAGAUAAAAGUGAAGCAAAACAAAAAAAAUAAGAGGAGAGGUUGAGUUAAAGAAAAAGGAGUGGGAAAAAGAAAUUAAAGAAAAAUGGGAAACAUGCUGGGAUGGGAUUCCAAAACAAUUAUCUCCAGUUAAACAAGAAUCUCUUCUGCGUUACCAAGAACAACACCGAAACAGCAACUUCUGUACAUGUGAAAAAGGAUUGUCAAUUAACAUGGCAGGCUGGCUUUCCAUGUUGCCACCGGCAACUACACAACUUUUGUGAUCUCCGAGGAUGGAGAUGUCUAUUCAUUUGGGUGCGGUGAAUCUUUUAGUUUGGGUCAUGCCACUGCCAUAGAUGGACAGGCGAAUCGGCAUGCUAAUGUGUUCAGCCCGCAACUAGCAACUUCACUGAAGCAGAUUAAAGAGAAGGUGGUGCAGAUCAGCCUCACCAAUUCAAUAUACUGGAACGCGCACAUAUUCGCCCUGACAGAUUCUGGCAACCUCUAUGCCUUCGGGGCUGGUAACAAGGGGCAGCUUGACAUUAAACUUAUCGCCCAGUAAAGCAAAAGAGGGGUCCUGGAGCCAGUCGACAUCGAUGUCAGUUAGUUCUCCAACUGGUGAUCUCCAUUGCAACCAUCACCAAACAAUGCUACCCUUCUUAUCAACCUGAUUAUUGUUUAUAGCCCUUUUGCAGCAUGUUUGUGUUUAAAUUCCUCGUCUGUAUAUGUGCAUAUAAUGAAAUGUUUAUGUUCAAUGAAAAGCUGCACGUCACUCUACUAAAAUUCUUCUGGUUUAAUUUCU